rnacentral:rRNA from 1 species
CAGCAGCCACGGGAAUACAGAGGGUGCGAGCGUUAAUAGGAUUUACUGGGCGUAAAGCGUGCGUAGGCGGCUUUUUAAGUCGGAUGUGAAAUCCCUGAGCUUAACUUAGGAAUUGCAUUCGAUACUGGGAAGCUAGAGUAUGGGAGAGGAUGGUAGAAUUCCAGGUGUAGCGGUGAAAUGCGUAGAGAUCUGGAGGAAUACCGAUGGCGAAGGCAGCCAUCUGGCCUAAUACUGACGCUUAGGUACGAAAGCAUGGGGAGCAAACAGGAUUAGAUACCCCCGUAGUCCCUGUCUCUUAUAC